UACGUGGGGGGCAAGCGUUGUCCGGAAUCAUUGGGCGUAAAGCGCGUGUAGGCGGCUUUGCAAGUCGGGUGUGAAAGCCCUCGGCUCAACCGAGGAAGUGCGCCCGAAACUGCAGAGCUUGAGUACCGGAGAGGAUGGCGGAAUUCCCCAAGUAGAGGUGAAAUUCGUAGAUAUGGGGAGGAACACCGGUGGCGAAGGCGGCCAUCUGGACGGAUACUGACGCUGAGACGCGAAAGCGUGGGGAGCAAACAGG
rnacentral:rRNA from 1 species